ACGCAGGACGCGACUCGCUGUUCGAGUUGCGGCGUGGGUUGGAGGUACAUGCAGUAUCUAAAACUUCGUAUUUAGUGCAGUUGUGGAGUAGUGUUGUUUGGAGAUACAAGAAUUUACGCAGCUUGAGACGUCCUUUCGAAUUCCGUAGAUGAAAGAAGUGAUUAGUGACUGAAGAAAUCCUAGGACUGACUGGGGAUCGGAAACCAGUUCUAUGGAUUUUUGGUGUAGCACUUACCCAAUGAGCCGCCAAUCCAAACACAGGUGGAAAACUGCAAGUAUGCUGCUCUUCCUUUUCUUUCCACUGCAAACAGACAGUUACUGGCCAGUGCUGAGUAAAUAUAAGUACAUCCCAGUCAUGUUCCUUUGAGUUAUUUGUGCUGUGAAUCAUGAAGUGUUUGUUAGUGUUUGUAUAUUGCAAGUGUAAAGAAGCGUAAUUGCCAUUUUAUGUUCCUGAACAUCAUCUCCUGUUAGUGCAUUUGUAUGAAAAACAAAAAACAAUUUGUGCGCACACAGAAGUUGUUUCGCAGUUUCAUUUUUAUUUUGGUUUGCCACUUACUGUUGCUCUGUCAUUGCAUUUUGGAGGUAAGUACGCAAUUUGAAGUUGAUCAUUAUA